rnacentral:rRNA from 1 species
AUACGUAGGGUGCGAGCGUUGUCCGGAAUUACUGGGCGUAAAGAGCUCGUAGGUGGUUUGUCGCGUCGUCUGUGAAAUUCCGGGGCUUAACUCCGGGCGUGCAGGCGAUACGGGCAUAACUUGAGGUCUGUAGGGGAGACUGGAAUUCCUGGUGUAGAGGAGAAAUGCGCAGAUAUCAGGAGGAACACCGGUGGCGAAGGCGGGUCUCUGGGCAGUAACUGACGCUGAGGAGCGAAAGCAUGGGUAGCGAACAGGAUUAGAUCCCCUGGUAGUCCAUGCCGUAACCGGUGGGCGCUAGGUGUAGGGGUCUUCCACGACUUCUGUGCCGUAGCUAACGCAUUAAGCGCCCCGCCUGGGGAGUACGGCCGCAAGGCUAAAACUCAAAGGAAUUGACGGGG